AACGAACGCUGGCGGCAUGCCUAACACAUGCAAGUCGAACGAGACCUUCGGGUCUAGUGGCGCACGGGUUCGUAACGCGUGGGAACCUGCCCUUAGGUUCAGAAUAACUCCCCGAAAGGGGUGCUAAUACCGGAUAAUGUCUUCGGACCAAAGAUUUAUCGCCUUUGGAUGGGCCCGCGUUGGAUUAGCUCGUUGGUAGGGUAAAAGCCUACCAAGGCGACGAUCCAUAACUGGUCUGAGAGGAUGAUCAGCCACACUGGGACUGAGACACGGCCCAGACUCCUACGGGAUGCAGCAGUGGGGAAUAUUGGAAAAUGGGGGAAAGCCUGAUCCAGCAAUGCCGCGUGAGUGAUGAAGGCCUUAGGGUUGUAAAGCGCUUUUACCCGGGAUGAUAAUGACAGUACCGGGAGAAUAAGCUCCGGCUAACUCCGUG
rnacentral:rRNA from 1 species